rnacentral:rRNA from 1 species
UAGCGGAGGAAAAGAAACCAACAGGGAUUGCCCCAGUAACGGCGAGUGAAGCGGCAACAGCUCAAAUUUGAAAUCUGGCCCCUAGGGUCCGAGUUGUAAUUUGUAGAGGAUGCUUUUGGUGAGGUGCCGCCCGAGUUCCCUGGAACGGGACGCCGCAGAGGGUGAGAGCCCCGUCUGGCUGGCCACCGAGCCUCUGUAAAGCUCCUUCGACGAGUCGAGUAGUUUGGGAAUGCUGCUCAAAAUGGGAGGUAUAUGUCUUCUAAAGCUAAAUAUUGGCCAGAGACCGAUAGCGCACAAGUAGAGUGAUCGAAAGAUGAAAAGCACCUUGAAAAGAGGGUUAAACAGUACGUGAAAUUGUUGAAAGGGAAGCGCUUGUGACCAGACUUGGGCGCGGCGGAUCAUCCGGGGUUCUCCCCGGUGCACUUCGCCGUGUUCAGGCCAGCAUCAGUUCGGCGCGGGGGAAAAAGGCUUCGGGAACGUGGCUCCUCCGGGAGUGUUAUAGCCCGUUGCAUAAUACCCUGCGCUGGACUGAGGACCGCGCAUCUGCAAGGAUGCUGGCGUAAUGGUCACCAGCGACCCGUCUUGAAACACGGACCAAGGAGUCGUCUUCGUAUGCGAGUGUUCGGGUGUCAAACCCCUACGCGUAAUGAAAGUGAACGCAGGUGAGAGCUUCGGCGCAUCAUCGACCGAUCCUGAUGUUCUCGGAUGGAUUUGAGUAAGAGCAUACGGGGCCGGACCCGAAAGAAGGUGAACUAUGCCUGUAUAGGGUGAAGCCAGAGGAAACUCUGGUGGAGGCUCGCAGCGGUUCUGACGUGCAAAUCGAUCGUCAAAUAUGGGCAUGGGGGCGAAAGACUAAUCGAACCUCCUUUAUU